GAUGAACGCUGGCGGCGUGCCUAAUACAUGCAAGUCGAGCGAACGGACGAGAAGCUUGCUUCUCUGAUGUUAGCGGCGGACGGGUGAGUAACACGUGGAUAACCUACCUAUAAGACUGGGAUAACUUCGGGAAACCGGAGCUAAUACCGGAUAAUAUUUUGAACCGCAUGGUUCAAAAGUGAAAGACGGUCUUGCUGUCACUUAUAGAUGGAUCCGCGCUGCAUUAGCUAGUUGGUAAGGUAACGGCUUACCAAGGCAACGAUGCAUAGCCGACCUGAGAGGGUGGUCGGCCACACUGGAACGGGGACACGGUCCAGACUCCUACGGGAGGCAGCAGUAGGGAAUCUUCCGCAAAGGGCGAAAGCCUGACGGAGCAACGCCGCGUGAGUGAUGAAGGUCUUCGGAUCGUAAAACUCUGUUAUUAGGGAAGAACAUAUGUGUAAGUAACUGUGCACAUCUUGACGGUACCUAAUCAGAAAGCCACGGCUAACUACGUG
rnacentral:rRNA from 1 species